UACGAAGGGGGCUAGCGUUGCUCGGAAUUACUGGGCGUAAAGCGCAUGUAGGCGGAUUGUUAAGUCGGGGGUGAAAUCCUGGAGCUCAACUCCAGAACUGCCUUUGAUACUGAGGAGCUUGAGUCCGGGAGAGGUGAGUGGAACUGCGAGUGUAGAGGUGAAAUUCGUAGAUAUUCGCAAGAACACCAGUGGCGAAGGCGGCUCACUGGCCCGGUACUGACGCUGAGGUGCGAAAGCGUGGGGAGCAAACAGG
rnacentral:rRNA from 1 species